AGCACUACAACAAACAACAAGGAAAACAGGUUUAGAAUGUGUUGAAGAUACUUGGCAAGCUAGAAACUGCUUUAAAGUCGACGAUUCAGCUUACUCCUUCUGUCUUUUAAAAGAUAGAACAAGAGAUAUUCAGUCUUAUGCUACUACUCUGAGAUCAACCGUUGGAGAUCUUUUCUGUGGUGUUUGCUGUUCUGUCAUAGAAAAAGAAAGAGACCGCUGUAAAAAGGUGUUUUGCUCAGAUGAUCUUACUUGCUGAUGUGUUGUUUAAUGGUCACAAAUGACAAUAAAAAUAAUCUACUAUGUAUA